rnacentral:rRNA from 1 species
UCGAACGAGAUCUUCGGAUCUAGUGGCGCACGGGUGAGUAACGCGUGGGAACCUACCUUUUAGUACGGGACAACGUUUGGAAACGAACGCUAAUACCGUAUACGCCCUCCGGGGGAAAGGUCAGCCGCUAAAAGAGGGGCCCGCGUCUGAUUAGCUUGUUGGUAAGGUAAUGGCUUACCAAGGCUACGAUCAGUAGCUGGUCUGAGAGGAUGAUCAGCCACACUGGGACUGAGACACGGCCCAGACUCCUACGGGAGGCAGCAGUGGGGAAUAUUGGACAAUGGAGGCAACUCUGAUCCAGCAAUGCCGCGUGUGUGAUGAAGGCCCUAGGGUUGUAAAGCACUUUCAACGGUGAAGAUGAUGACGGUAGCCGUAGAAGAAGCCCCGGCUAACUUCGUGCCAGCAGCCGCGGUAAUACGAAGGGGGCGAGCGUUAUUCGGAAUUAUUGGGCGUAAAGGGCUCGCAGGCUGCUUGAACAGUUAGACGUGAAAUCCCCGGGCUCAACCUGGGAACUGCGUUUAAUACUAGCAAGCUAGAGAAAUAGAGAGGAAAGUGGAACUCCCAGUGUAGAGGUGAAAUUCGUAGAUAUUGGGAAGAACACCAGUGGCGAAAGCGACUUUCUGGCUAUUUUCUGACGCUGAGGAGCGAAAGCGUGGGGAGCAAACAGGAUUAGAU